AACGAACGCUGGCGGCAGGCCUAACACAUGCAAGUCGAGCGAGGACUUCGGUCCUAUCGGCGUACGGGGGAGUAACGCGUGGGAACGUGCCCUUUGCUUCAGAAUAGCUCUAGGAAACUGGUAGUAAUACCGGAUGGGCCCUUUGGAGGAAAGAUUUAUCGGCGAAGGAUCGUCCCGCGUUGCAUUAGGUAGUUGGUUGAGUAAUGGCCUCCCAAGCCGCGAAUCCAUAGCUGGUUUGAGAGGAUGAUCAGCCACACCGGGACUGAGAAACGGCCCAGACUCCUCCGGGAUGCAGGAGUGGGGAAUCUUAGAACAUGGGGGAAACGAUGAUGUAGCCAUGACGGGUGAGCGAUGAUGGCAUUAGGGUUGUAACGCUCUUUCAGCUGGGCAGAUAAUGACGGUACCAGCAGAAGAAGCCACGGCUAACUACGUG
rnacentral:rRNA from 1 species